rnacentral:rRNA from 1 species
UACGUAGGGGGCGAGCGUUGUUCGGAAUUACUGGGCGUAAAGGGCGCGUAGGCGGCGACCUAAGUCAGAUGUGAAAGUCCUGGGCUUAACCUGGGGACUGCAUUUGAUACUGGGUUGCUUGAAUUCGGGAGAGGAUAGCGGAAUUCCCAGUGUAGAGGUGAAAUUCGUAGAUAUUGGGAAGAACACCGGUGGCGAAGGCGGCUAUCUGGACCGACAUUGACGCUGAGGCGCGAAAGCGUGGGGAGCAAACAGG